UACAGAGACUGCAAGCGUUAUUCGGAUUCACUGGGCGUAAAGGGUGCGCAGGCGGUUGUGUGUGUCAGGUGUGAAAGCCCGGGGCUUAACCCCGGAAUUGCGCCUGAAACUACAUGACUAGAGCAUUGGAGAGGGUAGCGGAAUUCACGGUGUAGCAGUGAAAUGCGUAGAUAUCGUGGAGGAACACCAGAGGCGAAGGCGGCUACCUGGACAAUUGCUGACGCUCAGGCACGGAAAGCGUGGGGAGCAAAAGGG
rnacentral:rRNA from 1 species